CUCCGUACGGGGAAGGAUGAGAAGCUUCGACCAAGGUUCGAUUCGAGCGCAGCGAGAAAGCGUUGCCGCAGGCAACGACCCGAAGGGCGAAGCGCGCAGCGCUGAGUCAUCCUUCCCCCACCACCA
rnacentral:sRNA from 2 species